UUAAAUCGACUCAUUCUUGCUGCAUUUUUUGAAGCAAAUUCAUGAAUCAAGUCUUCAUAUUGUAUGUCAUCCAAGAGAUUAUUCUCAAUUGCUAUCAAUGCUAAGCCGUUAAGUCUUUCUUGUAACAUGGUAGACCGCAAGUAAGACUUCAACAACUUCAAUUUUGAAAAGCUUCUUUAUGCAGAGGCAACUGUCACAGGAAUAGUUAAUAAAAUUCUAUAUGCAAUAAUUGUAUUAGGAAAACAAUUCAUGCCUUUCAAAAAAUUUAAUAUAUCAAUAGGCC
rnacentral:lncRNA from 1 species